rnacentral:rRNA from 1 species
CAAUAGCGUAUAUUUAAGUUGUUGCAGUUAAAAAGCUCGUAGUUGGAUUUUGGGUCGGGGGCACCGGUCCGCCGUUCCGGUGUGCACUGGUGGCCCCUUCCUUUCUGCCGGGGACGUGCGUCGCACUUAAUUGGGUGGCGUUCGGAGUCGGCGUUGUUACUUUGAAAAAAUUAGAGUGUUCAAAGCAAGCCAUCGCUCUGAAUACAUUAGCAUGGAAUAACAUGAUAGGACUCCGGUCUUAUUUUGUUGGUUUCCGAGACUGGAGUAAUGAUUAAGAGGGACAGUCGGGGGCAUCCGUAUUUCAUUGUCAGAGGUGAAAUUCUUGGAUUUAUGAAAGACGAACUUCUGCGAAAGCAUUUGCCAAGGAUGUUUUCAUUNA